UACGUAGGGUGCAAGCGUUAAUCGGAAUUACUGGGCGUAAAGCGUGCGCAGGCGGUUUGGUAAGACAGAUGUGAAAUCCCCGGGCUUAACCUGGGAAUUGCAUUUGUGACUGCCCGGCUAGAGUUUGGCAGAGGGGGGUAGAAUUCCACGUGUAGCAGUGAAAUGCGUAGAUAUGUGGAGGAAUACCGAUGGCGAAGGCAGCCUCCUGGGCCAACACUGACGCUCAUGCACGAAAGCGUGGGGAGCAAACAGG
rnacentral:rRNA from 1 species